AUCCAGUUGACGAGUCCAAAAUAGGAAGAAACGCUCGUUCAGGAU
rnacentral:hammerhead_ribozyme from 1 species